ensembl:snRNA U7 U7 small nuclear RNA
UAGUGUUAUAGCUCUUUUAGAAUUUGUCUAGCGGGUUUUCCAGUCCGCACUGGAAAACCCCU